rnacentral:rRNA from 1 species
UAAGGAAUAUUGGUCAAUGGGCGGAAGCCUGAACCAGCCAUGCCGCGUGCAGGAAGACGGCCCUACGGGUUGUAAACUGCUUUUGUACCGGAAUAAACCUUCUUUCGUGAAAGAAGCUGAAUGUACGGUAAGAAUAAGGAUCGGCUAACUCCGUGCCAGCAGCCGCGGUAAUACGGAGGAUCCAAGCGUUAUCCGGAUUUAUUGGGUUUAAAGGGUGCGUAGGCGGCCUAUUAAGUCAGGGGUGAAAGACGGUAGCUUAACUAUCGCAGUGCCUUUGAUACUGAUAGGCUUGAAUAUACUAGAGGUAGGCGGAAUGUGACAAGUAGCGGUGAAAUGCAUAGAUAUGUCACAGAACACCAAUUGCGAAGGCAGCUUACUAUGGUAUUAUUGACGCUGAGGCACGAAAGCGUGGGGAUCAAACAGGAUUAGAUACCCGCGUAGUCC